rnacentral:rRNA from 1 species
CAGUCGCCGCGGGAAUACGGAGGGUGCAAGCGUUAAUCGGAAUUACUGGGCGUAAAGCGCACGCAGGCGGUCUGACAAGUCAGAUGUGAAAUCCCCGGGCUUAACCUGGGAACUGCAUUUGUGACUGUAUAGCUAGAGUACGGCAGAGGGGGAUGGAAUUCCGCGUGUAGCAGUGAAAUGCGUAGAUAUGCGGAGGAACACCGAUGGCGAAGGCAAUCCCCUGGGCCUGUACUGACGCUCAUGCACGAAAGCGUGGGGAGCAAACAGGAUUAGAUACCCCUGUAGUCCCUGUCUCUUAUAC